UUUGAUCCUGGCUCAGAACGAACGCUGGCGGCAGGCUUAACACAUGCAAGUCGAGCGCCCCGCAAGGGGAGCGGCAGACGGGUGAGUAACGCGUGGGAAUCUACCCUUUUCUACGGAAUAACGCAGGGAAACUUGUGCUAAUACCGUAUAAGCCCUUCGGGGGAAAGAUUUAUCGGGAAAGGAUGAGCCCGCGUUGGAUUAGCUAGUUGGUGGGGUAAAGGCCUACCAAGGCGACGAUCCAUAGCUGGUCUGAGAGGAUGAUCAGCCACAUUGGGACUGAGACACGGCCCAAACUCCUACGGGAGGCAGCAGUGGGGAAUAUUGGACAAUGGGCGCAAGCCUGAUCCAGCCAUGCCGCGUGAGUGAUGAAGGCCCUAGGGUUGUAAAGCUCUUUCACCGGUGAAGAUAAUGA
rnacentral:rRNA from 1 species